UGGCCAUGUUGGUUAACAGAUCCUCAUCUGCUGGACGUCUGGCGAUGAUCUUUAUCGGUUGUCGUCAGUUGCCAGCACGUUUACUUUGAGAAAAUUAGAGUGCUAAAAGCAGGCUCACGCCUAUAUAUAUUGCAUGGAAUAAUGAAAUAAGAUCUCGAUUUUAUUUCGUUGGUUUUAGAAAUUGAGAUAAUGAUUAAUAGGAUCAGAGGGGGGCGUACGUACUGUGGUGUGAGAGGUGAAAUUCUUGGAUCGCCACAGGACGAACAGCAGCGAAGGCGUUCGCCAAGAAUGUUUUCAUUAAUCAAGAACGAAAGUUUGAGGUUCGAAGACGAUUAGAUACCGUCCUAGUUCAAACCAUAAACGUUGCCAACUGUCUUUUAGAUGCGGUUAUUUAUAUGACUCAUCUGGCGGAUCUCGAGAAAUCUAAGUUUUUAGGUUCCGGGGGGAGUAUGGUUGCAAAGCUGAAACUUAAAAGAAUUGACGGAAGGACACACAAGAAGUGGAGCCUGUGGCCUAAUUUGACUCAACACGGGAAACCUUACUCGGCCAGGACACUUUUAGGAUUGACAGAUUGAGAGCUCUUUCUUGAUUAGGUGGGUGGUGGUGCAUGGUCGUUCGUAGUUCGUGGAGCGAUUUGUCUGAUUAAUUUCGAUAACGAACGAGACUCCGGCUUACUAAAUAGUCUAAAGUUCGAAGGGACUUUUCAAGACUUCUUAGCAGGAUAAGUGG
rnacentral:rRNA from 1 species